UACGUAGGGUGCGAGCGUUAAUCGGAAUUACUGGGCGUAAAGCGUGCGCAGGCGGUUCGUUGUGUCGGAGGUGAAAUCCCCGGGCUUAACCUGGGAAUGGCCAUGGGAACUGGCGAACUGGAGUGCGGCAGAGGGGGGUGGAAUUCCGCGUGUAGCAGUGAAAUGCGUAGAGAUGCGGAGGAACACCGAUGGCGAAGGCAGCCCCCUGGGCUAGCACUGACGCUCAGGCACGAAAGCGUGGGGAGCAAACAGG
rnacentral:rRNA from 1 species